AGCCCCAGUGGGCUUUGCUGCAGGCUCAUGGUUCCUGCAGGCAGAUUAGCCCUGUCCCUUUUCUUGCUACUGACAUCAGCUCCCCUCGUUUUGGUGCAGCCUGAACAGUGUCAACAGCAGUGACUCCCGGUCCAGCGGCUCCCACUCGCAUUCCCCCAGCUCACAUUACCGCUACCGCAGCUCCAACCUGGCCCAGCAGGCUCCUGUGAGGCUGUCCAGCGUGUCCUCCCAUGACUCAGGAUUCAUAUCCCAGGACGCCUUCCAGUCCAAGUCACCAUCCCCCAUGCCACCAGAGGCCCCCAACCAGUUGUCUAACGGGUUUUCUCACUAUAGUUUAUCAAGUGAGUCCCACGUGGGGCCCACGGGUGCAGGCCUUUUCCCUCAUUGCCUGCCUGCCUCCCGCCUGCUCCCUCGGGUCACCUCUGUCCACCUUCCAGACUACGCUCAUUAUUACACCAUUGGGCCCGGCAUGUUCCCGUCAUCUCAGAUCCCUAGCUGGAAGGACUGGGCUAAGCCUGGGCCCUAUGACCAGCCUCUGGUGAACACCCUGCAGCGCCGCAAAGAGAAGCGAGAACCGGACCCCAACGCGGGAGGACCCACUACCGCCAGCGGCCCGCCUGCAGCAGCUGAGGAGGCUCAGAGACCACGGAGCAUGACUGUGUCGGCUGCCACCAGGCAAGUUUCAGAUUAUGAUUAUUUCUCUGUAAGUGGUGACCAGGAGGCAGAUCAGCAGGAGUUUGACAAGUCCUCCACCAUUCCAAGAAACAGCGACAUCAGCCAGUCCUACCGACGGAUGUUCCAAGCCAAGCGUCCAGCCUCAACUGCUGGCCUCCCCACCACCCUGGGACCUGCUAUGGUCACUCCAGGGGUUGCAACUAUCCGACGGACCCCUUCCACCAAGCCUUCUGUCCGCCGGGGAGCCAUUGGAGCUGGUCCCAUUCCCAUCAAGACACCCGUGAUCCCUGUCAAGACCCCAACCGUCCCAGACCUCCCAGGGGUGUUGCCAGCCCCUCCAGAUGGGCCAGAAGAGCGGGGGGAGCACAGCCCUGAGUCACCAUCUGUGGGUGAGGGCCCCCAAGGUGUCACCAGCAUGCCCUCCUCAAUGUGGAGCGGCCAAGCUUCCGUUAACCCUCCACUUCCAGGCCCGAAGCCCAGUAUCCCUGAGGAGCACAGACAGGCAAUUCCAGAAAGCGAAGCUGAAGACCAGGAACGGGAACCCCCAAGUGCCACUGUCUCCCCAAGCCAGAUUCCAGAGAGUGACCCUGCAGACCUGAGCCCAAGGGAUACUCCACAGGGAGAAGACAUGCUGAACGCCAUCCGAAGGGGCGUGAAACUGAAGAAGACCACGACAAACGAUCGCUCGGCCCCUCGCUUCUCUUAGGCUCACAAGAAAUGCGCUGGUGGGGAAUGAACUGUUUCAUUAAUAAAACCUAAUUUGUCUUGAUCCAUUCCAAUCUAUAAUAAAACAAAAGAUUUUGUAGGC
rnacentral:sRNA from 1 species